rnacentral:rRNA from 1 species
GACGAACGAGGGAGGAGGGAGGAAAAAAGGAAAGUAGAAAGGAAAGGCCCUGCUUGCAGGGUACUCGAGUGGCGAACGGGUGAGUAACACGUGGGUGAUCUGCCCUGCACUUCGGGAUAAGCUUGGGAAACUGGGUCUAAUACCGGAUAGGACCGCACUUUAGUGUGUGUGGUGGAAAGUUUUUUCGGUGUAGGAUGAGCUCGCGGCCUAUCAGCUUGUUGGUGGGGUAAUGGCCUACCAAGGCGGCGACGGGUAGCCGGCCUGAGAGGGUGUACGGCCACAUUGGGACUGAGAUACGGCCCAGACUCCUACGGGAGGCAGCAGUGGGGAAUAUUGCACAAUGGGCGCAAGCCUGAUGCAGCGACGCCGCGUGGGGGAUGAAGGCCUUCGGGUUGUAAACUCCUUUCGCUAGGGACGAAGCUUUUUGUGACGGUACCUAGAGAAGAAGCACCGGCUAACUACGUA